rnacentral:rRNA from 1 species
AGCGUAGACGGCAAGGCAAGUCUGAAGUGAAAGCCCGGUGCUUAACGCCGGGACUGCUUUGGAAACUGUUUGGCUGGAGUGCCGGAGAGGUAAGCGGAAUUCCUAGUGUAGCGGUGAAAUGCGUAGAUAUUAGGAAGAACACCAGUGGCGAAGGCGGCUUACUGGACGGUAACUGACGUUGAGGCUCGAAAGCGUGGGGAGCAAACAA